AUUGAACGCUGGCGGCAUGCCUUACACAUGCAAGUCGAACGGCAGCACGGGAGCAAUCCUGGUGGCGAGUGGCGAACGGGUGAGUAAUAUAUCGGAACGUGCCCGGUCGUGGGGAUAACGUAGCGAAAGCUACGCUAAUACCGCAUACGAUCUACGGAUGAAAGCGGGGGGAUCGCAAGACCUCGCGCGAUUGGAGCGGCCGAUAUCAGAUUAGGUAGUUGGUGAGGUAAAGGCUCACCAAGCCGACGAUCUGUAGCUGGUCUGAGAGGACGACCAGCCACACUGGGACUGAGACACGGCCCAGACUCCUACGGGAGGCAGCAGUGGGGAAUUUUGGACAAUGGGCGCAAGCCUGAUCCAGCAAUGCCGCGUGCAGGAUGAAGGCC
rnacentral:rRNA from 1 species